rnacentral:rRNA from 1 species
UACAGAGGUCUCAAGCGUUGUUCGGAUUCAUUGGGCGUAAAGGGUGCGUAGGUGGCGCUGUAAGUCUGGUGUGAAAUUUCGGAGCUCAACUUCGAAACUGCAUUUGAUACUGCGGUGCUUGAGGACUGGAGAGGAGACUGGAAUUUACGGUGUAGCAGUGAAAUGCGUAGAGAUCGUAAGGAAGACCAGUGGCGAAGGCGGGUCUCUGGACAGUUCCUGACACUGAGGCACGAAGGCCAGGGGAGCAAACGGG